rnacentral:pre_miRNA from 1 species
UCCCUACCCAUGUGUGUAGGACCUCAAAAGAUCACCAUUAAAGUUGAUACGGAUCUCUAAAAAAGUUAUCACAUGGGUGUGGGACUUUACUUUUCUAUAGAUCCGUGCUAUAUUUAAUGGUGAUCCUUUGGGGUCCUACACACAUGGGUGGGGG